rnacentral:rRNA from 1 species
UACAGAGGGUGCGAGCGUUGUCCGGAAUCACUGGGCGUAAAGGGCGCGUAGGUGGCGCUGCAAGUCGGUGGUGAAAGCUCGAUGCUUAACAUCGAGUCGGCCAUCGAAACUGCAGGGCUCGAGCACUGUAGGGGCAGAUGGAAUUCCGGGUGUAGCGGUGGAAUGCGUAGAGAUCCGGAAGAACACCGGUGGCGAAGGCGGUCUGCUGGGCCGUUGCUGGACGCUGAGGCGCGACAGCGUGGGGGAGCAAACAGG